rnacentral:lncRNA from 1 species
AGAACCAUUAGAGUAUUAUUUUUUAUGAAUGAAGGGAUUUUAAUUUUACAAUAAUUAAAAAAAUUAUGAAAGAAAGGGAGAUAAUAUGUUUAAAAAUAAUAAUGAUAACACCAAUAUUUAAUUAAAGAUAAUAUUAUUUAAAUUAGAGAGCUGAUUACGCAUGAGCUGUGUAAUCAAGGCUUCCCUAUUUUAUUCCAUAAAACUACAUGCAGAGCUAAACUCCCCGUUUCAUAAUAUAACAUAACAUAUGAGUAUGCUACUGAUAAACAAGUGUAGCUAAUAUUUCUAGAAGGGAAGCUUCAUUUUUAUUUACUUCUCUAGCAUUUAGGGAUGGCAACCCCACACGUGCUAGCUACCUUUCUGGCAUUGGGUGAGUUUAUAUACUGCUUCAG